CCUACGGGAGGCAGCAGUGAGGAAUAUUGGUCAAUGGUCGGGAGACUGAACCAGCCAAGCCGCGUGAGGGAGGAAGGUACAGAGUAUCGUAAACCUCUUUUGUCAGGGAACAAAGGCGGGGACGUGUCCCCGGAUGAGUGUACCUGAAGAAAAAGCAUCGGCUAACUCCGUGCCAGCAGCCGCGGUAAUGCGGAGGAUGCGAGCGUUACCCGGAUUUAUUGGGGUAAAAGGGUGCGCAGGCGGUCUGUUAAGUCAGCGGUAAAAGCCCGGGGCACAACCCCGGCCCGCCGUUGAAACUGGCAGUCUCGAGUUGGAGAGAAGUAUGCGGAAUGCGCGGUGUAGCGGUGAAAUGCAUAGAUAUCGCGCAGAACUCCGAUUGCGAAGGCAGCAUGCCGGCUCCACACUGACGCUGAGGCACGAAAGCGUGGGUAUCGAACAGGAUUAGAUACCCUUGUAGUC
rnacentral:rRNA from 1 species